UACGUAGGGUGCAAGCGUUAAUCGGAAUUACUGGGCGUAAAGCGUGCGCAGGCGGUUGUGCAAGACAGAUGUGAAAUCCCCGGGCUUAACCUGGGAAUGGCAUUUGGGACUGCAAGGCUUGAGUGCGGGCAGAGAGACGUGGGAUUCCUGGUGUAGCAGUGAAAUGCGUAGAUAUCAGGAGGAACACCGAUGGCGAAGGCAGGUCUCUGGGCUGACACUGACGCUCAUGCACGAAAGCAUGGGGAGCAAACAGG
rnacentral:rRNA from 1 species